GGGGAGUCGUAACAAGGUUUCCGUAGGUGAACCUGCGGAAGGAUCAUUG
rnacentral:rRNA from 1 species